GACGAACGCUGGCGGCGUGCUUAACACAUGCAAGUCGAGCGGUAAGGCCCUUUCGGGGGUACGACGAGCGGCGAACGGGUGAGUAACACGUGGGUGACCUGCCCUCAGCUCUGGGAUAAGCCUGGGAAACCGGGUCUAAUACCGGAUAUGACUCCAUGACGCAUGUUGUGGGGUGGAAAGCCUUGUGCGGCUGAGGAUGGGCCCGCGGCCUAUCAGCUUGUUGGUGGGGUGAUGGCCUACCAAGGCGACGACGGGUAGCCGGCCUGAGAGGCGACCGGCCACACUGGGACUGAGACACGGCCCAGACUCCUACGGGAGCAGCAGUGGGGAAUCUUGCGCAAUGGGCGAAAGCCUGACGCAGCGACGCCGCGUGAGGGAUGACGGCCUGG
rnacentral:rRNA from 1 species